GUGCAGCAGUCGCGAAACCUUCGCAAUGCAGGAAACUGCGACGAGGGAACUCCAAGUGCCUACGCUCAGCGUAGGCUGUUCUCAAGCCUAGAAAGCUUGAGGAGUAAGGGCUGGGUAAGACGGGUGCCAUCUGUGGUAGCAGUCAAUAGAUUCGAUUUGUUACUGCAAGGCAUAAGCCGCCGCGGUAAUACCCGCAGCCCAAGUGGUGGCCGCUUUUAUGGGCCUAAAGCGUCCGUAGCCGGCCCGGUAAAUGCCUGGGGUAAAUCGUGGAGCCCAACUUCACGAAUUCCGGGUAGACUGCCGAGCUCGGGACCGGAAGAGGGGAGAGGGUACUUCAGGGGGUAGGGGUGAAAA
rnacentral:rRNA from 1 species